AGGUCUCAAUAACUCACACUGAGAAAUUUAUAGGAGAAAGAAUAAAAACAUUUUCUUUACUUAUAGUUGUGAACAGAUCCAACAGUAAACUGAGAAACAUAACUGCCUUCAAGUGCAGAUGUCAGCAGACUCUAGGGAAAAAGACACAGAGCAGAGAGGUGGGGCUUUCUUUGAAUUCAGAGGAAGGGAAAGAAUGAUUGGUUAGUGCUGGAUAGAUUGACAGUCACCCCAGUCCAGAAAGGUCCCUCCCAUCAGAUAGCCAAAGAAAUUGUUCAUCUUCUCCCCACAAGACAGAUUUCCUUCCUAAGCAUCCAUGGCUGCAAGGUGAUUUAAACAUGGUCUUCCUUUCCUGACCAUGAUAUUUGUUGCUAGGAGUAGAUCCAGGCGUCAGAAAACAGUUCCUAAAUGUAAAUAACUCUUCUUAUGCAGCCACAUUUCCCACAUGGGCCCUUUGGAAAUAGAGUCUCAGUGACAUUUCCAUACCUGAUCUUGUCCAGAAUGUGGUACACAGCACCAGGUAGAUGCCACAGGAAAUGAGUAUUUUGGGGGAGGGAGAUGAAAAAGGAAACCUUGCAGGCUUUGGGGGCAGCCGCAUUUUGCCAAGAACACAGAAUGGUGGAGGAUCUGCAAGUGCCUUCUUGAGUGCAGUGAAUCCCAAACAUUUCCACCAAAAGCUGCUUGCUGAACAAUAGAAGCCUCAGCAACUUCAGCCUGCCAUGUGCAUUGCCUUACAUAUUAAGUGCUCACUCCUCAUGCAUUAGCUCCACCAAAAACAAAGAUCAACCAGCGAGGCUUGGUUUAGCGUUCAACCUCCAUUCUGACAGAACAGCUCUGGACUACUUAUGGUUGUGAAUUUGUCACGAGCAUAAGAUCCUCUGUGAUGCAAUAAAGGUGACAACUUUUCUGAGAUCCUCCAACUGAGAAGUCACACAGUUGGACAAAUUUGGCUAUGUGGCUCUUGACAUCCCUAACUUUCUGACUUGACUCUGUAGUGAAGAACAGCUACAAGCAGUUUCUGUAACAAAAUCCAACAGGUGACUAGCCUAUCAAAAGAGUCAUCCUGUCUUCCCAAAUAGCCACUGCCCCUCAGCCCCUGCACACCCUCCUUUUAAAACACUGACAUGGAACGGGAAAUUGCACAGAAAAGUCUUUUUGUGCCAUCAUGUGAGCAUGGGGGUAAUUUUGGCAUAUUUUGAAAUUCCCACAACACCCUGGCACUCCUAUACCCCACACCCCCAAAAUAAAGUAAAGUUGUCCCUAAAA